rnacentral:rRNA from 1 species
UACGUAGGGCGCAAGCGUUGUCCGGAAUUAUUGGGCGUAAAGAGCUCGUAGGCGGUCUGUUACGUCCGCUGUGAAAACCCAGGGCUUAACCCUGGGCUUGCAGUGGAUACGGGCAGACUAGAGGCAGGUAGGGGAGAAUGGAAUUCCCGGUGUAGCGGUGAAAUGCGCAGAUAUCGGGAGGAACACCAAUAGCGAAGGCAGCUCGCUGGGACGGUACUGACGCUAAGGCGCGAAAGCGUGGGGAGCGAACAGG